UGGGGAAUAUUGCACAAUGGGCGAAAGCCUGAUGCAGCGACGCCGCGUGAAGGAUGAAGUAUUUCGGUAUGUAAACUUCUAUCAGCAGGGAAGAAAAUGACGGUACCUGACUAAGAAGCCCGGCUAACUACGUCGCC
rnacentral:rRNA from 1 species